rnacentral:rRNA from 1 species
UACAGAGGCCCCGAGCGUUAAUCGGAAUCACUGGGCUUAAAGCGCGUGUAGGCGGAUCGUUAAGUGUCUUGUGAAAUCCCACGGCUCAACCGUGGAACUGCUGGGCAUACUGGCGAUCUUGGGCCACUCAGGGGCGACCGGAACAAGCGGUGGAGCGGUGAAAUGCGUAGAUAUCGCUUGGAACGCCAAAGGUGAAGACAGGUCGCUGGGGGUGUGCCGACGCUGAGACGCGAAAGCCAGGGGAGCAAACGGG